AACGUAGGAGACAAACGUUAUCCGGAGUUACUGGGCGUAAAGGGCGUGCAGGCGGUUUCUUAAGUUCGUCGUGAAAUCGCCCGGCUUAACCGGGCGGGGUCGAUGGAUACUGGGAGACUUGAGGGCGGUAGAGGCGUGUGGAAUUCCGGGUGUAGUGGUGAAAUGCGUAGAUAUCCGGAGGAACACCAGUGGCGAAGGCGACACGCUGGGCCGUACCUGACGCUAAGACGCGACAGCAUGGGGAGCGAAC
rnacentral:rRNA from 1 species